rnacentral:rRNA from 1 species
GACGAACGCUGGCGGCGUGCCUAAUACAUGCAAGUUGAGCGCUGAAGGUUGGUACUUGUACCAACUGGAUGAGCAGCGAACGGGUGAGUAACGCGUGGGGAAUCUGCCUUUGAGCGGGGGACAACAUUUGGAAACGAAUGCUAAUACCGCAUAAAAACUUUAAACACAAGUUUUAAGUUUGAAAGAUGCAAUUGCAUCACUCAAAGAUGAUCCCGCGUUGUAUUAGCUAGUUGGUGAGGUAAAGGCUCACCAAGGCGAUGAUACAUAGCCGACCUGAGAGGGUGAUCGGCCACAUUGGGACUGAGACACGGCCCAAACUCCUACGGGAGGCAGCAGUAGGGAAGCUUCGGCAAUGGACGAAAGUCUGAACGAGCAACGCCGCGUGAGUGAAGAAGGGUUUCGGAUCGUAAAACUCUGUUGGUAGAGAAGAACGUUGGUGAGAGUGGAAAGCUCAUCAAGUGACGGUAACUACCCAGAAAGGGACGGCUAACUACGUG